UGGCGGCAGUAGCGCGGUGGUCCCACCUGACCCCAUGCCGAACUCAGAAGUGAAACGCCGUAGCGCCGAUGGUAGUGUGGGGUCUCCCCAUGUGAGAGUAGGGAAACUGCCAGGCA
rnacentral:rRNA from 1 species